rnacentral:sRNA from 1 species
GUUGUCUCACCUGCAGUGAUGUGUACCGUACCAAGGGCCAGCUGGCCAACUUCCAGGAGAUGCUGGAGAACAUCUUCCUGCCACUGUUCGAGGCCACUGUGCACCCUGCCAGCCACCCAGAACUGCAUCUCUUCUUAGAGCACGUGGAUGGUUUUGACAGCGUGGAUGAUGAGUCCAAGCCUGAAAACCAUGUCUUCAACCUGGAGAGCCCCCUGCCUGAGGCGUGGGUGGAGGAGGACAACCCACCCUAUGCCUACUACCUGUACUACACCUUUGCCAACAUGGCCAUGUUGAACCACCUGCGCAGGCCCCCGUCCUGCAGUACCUGUACUACCUGGCCCAGAUCGGCAUCGCCAUGUCUCCGCUCAGCAACAACAGCCUCUUCCUCAGCUAUCACCGGAAUCCGCUACCGGAGUACCUGUCCCGCGGCCUCAUGGUCUCCCUGUCCACUGAUGAUCCCUUGCAGUUCCACUUCACCAAGGAGCCGCUGAUGGAGGAGUACAGCAUCGCCACCCAGGUGUGGAAGCUCAGCUCCUGCGAUAUGUGUGAGCUGGCCCGCAACAGCGUGCUCAUGAGCGGCUUCUCGCACAAGGUAAAGAGCCACUGGCUGGGACCCAACUAUACCAAGGAAGGCCCUGAGGGGAAUGACAUCCGCCGGACCAAUGUGCCAGACAUCCGCGUGGGCUACCG